rnacentral:rRNA from 1 species
GACGUAGGGGCGCGACGUUGUCCGGAUUUAUUGGGCGUAAAGAGCUCGUAGGCGGUCUGUCGCGUCUGCUGUGAAAACUCAGGGGCUUAACCCUGAGCUUGCAGUGGGGUACGGGGCAGACUAGAGUGCGGGUAGGGGGAGACUGGAAUUCCUGGUGUAGCGGGUGAAAUGCGCAGAUAUCGGGGAAGAACACCCCGUGGCGAAGGGCGGGCUCUCUGGGGACGGGUACUGACGCUGAGACGCGAAAGCGUGGGGGAGCCGAACA